rnacentral:tRNA from 1 species
GUGGCUCAGUCGUAGAGUGCUUGCCUUGAAUGCAUGAGGUCCUGGGUUCGAUUCCUCAGC